UUGGCCGUAAAUAAAUUAAAUUUACCAGAGUACUAUGGAUUAAAAAGUUUAAAACUCAAAGAGCUUGGCGGUGUUUUAGACCUCUCAGGGGAACCUGUCUCAUAAUCGACAAUCCACGUUACACCUAACCUUAUUUCGCUUUUACAGUUUGUAUACCGUCGUCGUCAGGUAACUUUUAAAAAUUUAGAAGUUAGCAAAAAAGUUAUAUAAGCUUAUACGUCAGAUCAAGGUGCAGCUUAUAUUAAGGUGAGGAUGGGUUACAAUUAUAAAAUCAUAACUACAAAGUAAUUAUAAUAAUAUAUAAUUAUAAGGAGGACUUGAAAGUAAACUAAAUUAUAAAAACAUUUUGAAUAAGGCUCUGAAACGUGC
rnacentral:rRNA from 1 species